AGCUCACAGAUGAUAGUAAAUAAAGCACUUUUUUUGUAUUUUUAUGUUCAGAUAUAUUAUGGAUUCAUGAAUACUGUUUGAAAUACACUCUUCAGUAAUCUUUUUGUAUUUUAGGUCAGAGUGGAUUCCCUCAUCUGGUGAUACAUGGCUGUACAGGAGGACUUUUGGCUUUUGUUCUGUUUCUGUUUUUUUUUUACUGUAUGAGAACAAAGGCUUCAAGACAGGCCCAUGUCACAGGAAAAGAUCAGGCUAAGGAUAAAAACAGAGGCAUGAUGGCUAUCUAUGUUAAAAAUGAUAUUGUGAUCAGCAAGAAUGGUAAGAAGACAGAAAGUGAUGAUCUCCUCUAUAGUGAGAUUGACUUCUCCAAACUCCAGACAGACCACAAGACAAAGGAACACCCAAACAAUGGCCCAGUGACAGAGUGUGCUGAGAUUCAAGUGACAUAGAGAAAGCAACAAAUCAACAGUGUUCAGCAAAUGGAUAAACUCAUUUAAACUUUAAAUCUUGCUAUUGUGCAGAGACCUGUUGCACUUGUCAGCCAUGGACAGUCAUCAAAUUUUCACAAAUCCCUUAAUAACAUCUCUGACGAAUGGUGUAACACUGUCUAAAUAAUGAAAUAAUACUCUAGACUCCAGCAGCUACAAGGAAUAUAAUUUGAAUAAUAUUAAAUGCUCUUAUAGUGCUCUUAAAUAUAUUGAUAAUCUAUAUGCUGGUUACUUGUAUGGUAUUAGAUAUAAAUAAUCUUAAAAAUAAAACUACGCCAUUUUAAAGUAAAGUAAAGUAA
ensembl:lncRNA